UAACUUUCNAUGGUAGGAUAGAGGCCUACCAUGGUGGUAACGGGUAACGGGGUGUUAGGGCACGACACCGGAGAGGGAGCCUGAGAAACGGCUACCACAUCCAAGGAUGGCAGCAGGCGCGCAAAUUACCCAAUCCCGACACGGGGAGGUAGUGACAAUAAAUAACAAUACGGGGUCCUUUCGGGUUUCGUAAUUGGAAUGAGUACAAUUUAAAUCUCUUAACGAGGAACAAUUGGAGGGCAAGUCUGGUGCCAGCAGCCGCGGUAAUUCCAGCUCCAAUAGCGUAUAUUAAAGUUGUUGCAGUUAAAAAGCUCGUAGUUGAAUUUCGGGAUUAGUGCGCCGGUCGUGCCUUCGGUAUGUACUGGUGUUACUGGUUCCUACCUUCUGACGAACCGUCAUGUCAUUUAUUUUGGUGUGGCGGGGGAAAUCAGGACUGUUACUUUGAAAAAAUUAGAGUGUUUAAAGCAGGCUCGCGCUUGAAUACAUUAGCAUGGAAUAAUGAAAUAGGACGUUCGAUCCUAUUUUGUUGGUUUCUAGGAUUGACGUAAUGAUUAAUAGUGAUAGUUGGGGGCAUUAGUAUUCAAUUGUCAGAGGUGAAAUUCUUGGAUUUAUUGAAGACUAACUACUGCGAAAGCAUUUGCCAAGGAUGUUUUCAUUAAUCAAGAACGAAAGUUAGGGGAUCGAAGACGAUCAGAUACCGUCGUAGUCUUAACCAUAAACUAUGCCGACUAGGGAUCGGAUGAUGUUAUUUUUAAUGACUCAUUCGGCGCCUUACGGGAAACCAAAGUGUUUGGA
rnacentral:rRNA from 1 species